rnacentral:rRNA from 1 species
GGUUGUGGACAUACAACAUGGAUGCAAUAUCGUAAAUGAAGAGAGUUGGAAAGCUCCGCCAUAGAAGGUAAUAGCCCUGUAUUUGAAACGAGAAAGCUACUAGUAUGAUCCAGAGUACCACGGGACACGUGAAACCCUGUGGGAAGCAGGAGGGACCAUCCUCCAAGCCUAAAUACUACCUAGUGACCGAUAGCGCAUAGUACCGUGAGGGAAAGGUGAAAAGAACCCCGG